GAUGAACGCUGGCGGCGUGCCUAAUACAUGCAAGUCGAGCGAACGGACGAGAAGCUUGCUUCUCUGAUGUUAGCGGCGGACGGGUGAGUAACACGUGGAUAACCUACCUAUAAGACUGGGAUAACUUCGGGAAACCGGAGCUAAUACCGGAUAAUCUUUUGAACCGCAUGGUUCAAAAGUGAAAGACGGUCUUGCUGUCACUUAUAGAUGGAUCCGGGCUGCAUUAGCUAGUUGGUAAGGUAACGGCUUACCAAGGCAACGAUGCAUAGCCGACCUGAGAGGGUGAUCGGCCACACUGGAACUGAGACAGGGUCCAGACUCCUACGGGAGGCAGCAGUAGGGAAUCUUCCGCAAUGGGCGAAAGCCUUACGGAGCAACGCCGCGUGAGUUAUGAAGGUCUUCGGAUCGUAAAACUCUGUUAUUAGGGAAGAACAUAUGUGUAAGUAACUGUGCACAUCUUGACGGUACCUAAUCAGAAAGUCACGGCUAACUACGUG
rnacentral:rRNA from 1 species